rnacentral:tRNA from 1 species
GGUGGCUCAGUGGUAGAGCGCUUGCCUAGCAUGCAUGGGGCCCCAGGUUCGAUUCCUCAGUACCA